CCCUCUUAAAGAACGGCCUUGUUUGGGCUAUGGGCCUGGUGGACACUCAAAGCUGACUUUCUCGAGGAUUUUGGCGGCUAUUCGAAAGAUUACUCCUUAUUCUCCCCUACAGAUCAUUUUAUCUGGUCCAUAUGUUUCUACUCCUGUGGAUAACUUGUAGCUUACUUACAGCCUCUCUUUCUGUUCCCAGAAGUCGGAGUCUUUUUCUGAGUAGAUCUCCUCCACGUGGGCGACAUCCGAUCCAGCGAAGAAAGCUCGUUCGGGCGUGGCAAUCCUACCGACUUCACUAAAGGCCUGUACCCUGAUUCCCCAUCCCCAACCCUAUCCCUUCCUGGCUGGACCAUAGUCAGGCAGCAUCCUUUGCAUCUGGACGCUGUAGAAAAAUGGUCAUUUUAGCCUCUCUAGAAGGUGAUUUUAGCCUCUCUAGAAGGUGUCUUAGAAGCCCGGGGAGGACGGGCACUUUUUCCUCAGUAGUCUCCCCAUAAGCGGAAUGAGGAUUCUCCUGUGUAACAUUGCUCUCCAAGAGUCUGCAGGGUUCCAGAGACUGAAGUUUCACACUGGCAUCUUGGACCUGGUGGGAGUUGGUUUUGUGCAGAGGAAGCGAGACCAUUACAGAGAAUCACAACUGGUCCAAGUGCAGAAAACAGGUUGACUAUGGAGUGCCCAUCCCCCAGUGGGGUACCUGAAACAUGAUACUCGGCCAAGGCACAUACAGGAAGAGACAACAGAGAGCUUGUAGGAGUCAGAAGACUGGGAGAACUGCUGUGAAACAGUGUCUUCUGGACAUGACGGGGAUGUCACAUCCAUUAACCCCCAACAAUAUGGUUACAUGAACAAGACCACACCAGUCAACAUGGUGGGUGCCCAUAAGGCCCCACCACAAGGGAAGAGCUAUAGGCAGUUGGUGUCUGCUGAGGGAGAGAAGGUCAGUUUUCUUUAGGGGCAAGCUGUCUCCCAGUAGGUUACGCAUUCCCUAGUGGUCUAGCCUAGGCCAAAUCUAUAUAAGCAAUACUAACUGGACUCAUUCAAAUUGUGUGUGUGUGUGUUUGUGUGUGCAUAAUUGUGUGUGUAAUUGUGUAUGUGUGCAUAUUUGUAUAUGUACAUGUUUUUGUGUGUGUGCAUGUAUGUGUUUGUGUGUGCAUGCAUGUUUGUGUAUGUUGGUAUGAUUAUAGAAAAAAGGGACACGAAUUUGAGACAGGGUUAUUAGGGAGGACAUGGAAGUGAGGGCAGUGCUUAUGUAUGAAAAGCUAAAAAUAAAAUCUGUGGGAUCUGAGUCAGAAAUUCCUUAGUAAAAAAAUCUGCACACAGUGAUCCAGUUUUGGAAAUAUCUUAAAAUCUGUUUAUUCUGGUACAACUUAUAUUUCAGUACCCCUUCACCCAAUGUAACCUUAGGUAUCCUAUCAGGAAGCCACAUUUACGGAGGUCACAUUUUGAACACUCUGUCUCUCACAUUAGGAGCCUCUCUGGGGAAGAGCUGAUUGUUGGAAAAUGACAGAUAGUCCGUGCUAUGUUAUGGAUACAAAUGCCAUGGUAUAUGGUCUAUAAUAUUUUUUUUACUUUUUAAAAUUUUUUUAAAAGUUUUUUACAGUCCAUAAUUAAUUCUAUUAUUUAUAUAAGUAAAAUUGGCUCCACGUGUAGCAUCAGAGAAGCAAGUAUGCAGAAUUAAAUGAAUACAAUAAACCUACCUACAUAAUGAGGACCCAAAGCAAGGAAGAGAACAUUAGCGGCUACAAGCAGCCACAUCAUAAGCAGCUUGCUUGGGUUUCCCCAGAAUGAACAACGUGACCAUCAACGCCACGGGCCACUCUUUUCUUUGAGGUGAAACCUUCUGUGUCCAGCAGGUUCUUUUUUUUUUUUUUUUUUUUUUGGUUCUUUUUUUCCGGAGCUGGGGACCGAACCCAGGGCCUUGCGCUUCCUAGGCAAGCGCUCUACCACUGAGCCAAAUCCCCAGCCCCCGUCCAGCAGGUUCUUAAGUUUAUCCAUAGUGUUGCUUCAAUGAGGAGACUAUCUGUUCUCAUUUCCGGGUAGCCAUCAUAUGGAAACCCACCUCAGACAUCUAAGAUUUAAUCAGCGACUGAGUUUCUCUAAGGUAGCUUAAAGGCUUUCUGCAGCACCCCAAACCUUCCCUAACUCCACCCAGAACCCACAGGAAGAGUCUCAAAGCGUCCAGUGACAUAUGUUGCCUGUCAGAGCAAAGCAGUUGAACUUUUUACACACAAAAAGAGCUAGGCUGUUUGAGGGAGUUAUUUUUCCUCAUUCUUUAUAUCUUAUCUCCUCGGUCUUUGGUUUAAAUUUGACGGACUUGGAGUUUUAGAGAAUCUGAGCUAGAGAAAACCAUGUCGCCGAGAAACUUUCUGCAUAAAUUCUGGUAACUGUCAGGUGACUAUUCAUUUCCACGGGAGCCGCGAUAAUAACUUUUAUCACUUAGAUCCCAGAAAGUGGGAACCAAUCUAUUGACAGUAACAACUGGAAACCUGAAAUUUAUUUGUAAAUAUUUCUUGCAUCGUACUUGGGUACGCAGUGUGUUUGCUGCAUUUCUAACUAUGGAGUGGGGCUGUCUGUUAAGUUGAAAUGUGCAAUGCAUAAGAGCUUAGCUUCUGAGAUAGACAACUUUGUACUUUUAAUUUAGCUGAAAAUUCACAUUUUAAAGUUGUACAACAACAUCAGUAUUUUCAAACAUGCCAGCAUUUGUUUCUUAAAUUAGUGUCCACAGAAAAACUUAAAAGCGUUCAGACUGGAUAUAGUGUCUUACAUGUAGAAUCCCAACAGUUAGCUGGUAUGGAUCAGACUGGCUAUCAGGUGCAGUCAAAGCCAACUGGAGCCAUUUGGCUAGACCCUGUCUCAAAGGAUCUAAGGCUAAAGAUAUAACAUAGAGGUCUAGCACAGCUCUGGACCUGGACCCUGGUUUUCUUUUUCUUUUCUUUUUUAAGUAAAGUAAAUUAUUAGCAAUGCUCUGAAUAAUAAAUGAAAGGAAUUAAGAACUUUCAUAACAUCCUGCUCAACAAAUGCAUAAAAUCAUAACAUUAACUCAGCCAGAAGUUUAUAUAAAACUCAAUAUUUGUAUUUAUUUAUCCUAAGCAGUGGGCACUGGAGUCACGUGAAGACUAACACUAUUUACAACAAUUUCAGGAACCUAUGAUCUAGUAUAAGAGGGGAUUGAUAUACAAACAAAUAAUUUUUUAAUUUCUUUACAUUUACUCAUUUGAGUGUGUGUGUGUGUGGUGUGUGGUGUGUGUGUGCGUGUGUGCGUGUGUGUGGUGUGUGUGUGUGUGAGUUUGUGUGUGUGUGUGGUGUGUGGUGUGUGUGUGUGUGUGUGUGUGGUGUGUGGUGUGUGUGUGUGUGUGUGUGUGGUGUGUGUGUGUGUGGUAUGUGGUGUGUGUGUGUGGUGUGUGUGUGUGUGGUGUGUGUGUGUGUGUGUGUGUGUGGUGUGUGUGUGUGUGGUAUGUGGUGUGUGUGUGUGGUGUGUGUGUGUGUGGUGUGUGUGUGUAUGUGUGGUGUGUGCGUGUGUGUGUGUGUGGUGUGUGGUGUGUGUGUGUCUGUGUGUGUGUGUGUGGUGUGUGUGUGGUGUGUGUGUGACUGUGUGUGUGUGGUGUGUGUCUGUGUGUGUGUGGUGUGUGUGUAUGCGUGUGUGUGUGUGUGUGUGUGUGUGUGUGUGUGUGUGUGUGUGUUCCCAUAGAGGAAUAUUUGCAGAGUUGGUUCUUCCCUUCCACUGUGUGGCUUCUGGAAAAUCAAACUCAGACAUCGUGGCAAGUGCCUUUUCCCCCUGAGCCAUUUCAACCAUCCCCAGCAGGCAAUCAGUGAUUAAAGCUUGGUGAAGAAGAUUCUCUCUUCUGUCUCUCUGUCUCUGUCUCUCUUUCUCCCUCCCUAAGAUGGGGUUUCAUAUAUUCGGGCUGAUCUUUUAAACUCACUGUGUUGCUGAGAACCCUGAGACCAUUCCUCCUGCCUCUACCUCCCCAAAUUCGGGGAUUCUAGAUGUAUGCCCUCACAUCUAGUUUGAACAGGUGAACCUGAGGUUUGAACCCAGGGCCCUGAGCAAGUUAAGCAGACACUCUCAUAACUGAGGUACACCCUCAACCCAGCGAAAGAGGACUCUUUCUGUGCUAGAUGAGCACGUGGAUGCCACCAAGUCGAUGCUGAGUUGUCACAGAAUCUUCCCAAAAUGUGAUGUGUAAGAAGGGUGAAAAAUGGAGGUCGGGAAGGAGUUUGGAAAAACCGAAAUAACUGUAACUGUUCAGUGGUGCAGGACACACGGUAUAAUAGGGGGCUGGACUGGAGAAGGAGAAAGGAAGGAUUAGGUGAGCUGGGAUACAGAAACGGACAUUCAAAAGCCCCAGCAUAUAGUAAUCUACAAGAUAAUACCAUGAGCCUAUUGUGACGGUCCAUACCUAUAACCUUAGCAUUGGAGAAGUGGAGGCAGGAGGAUCUCUGUGACUUUGAGGACAGCCUGGGCUACCUAGUGAGUCCCAAGCCAUUAUACUCACGGACUGAAACUGUUUCAAAACCCCAAACAACAAAUCAGCACGGUGGGGAUGUAGGGCCUGGCGGUUAGAUUGGAUUUGAAUUCUGUCUUCAGAAGUAAAAUUUCACAAAACCUUCAUCCUUUCAGAACCUCAGUUUUCCUCAUCCUAAAAUAUAUAAAAACCUGGGUACUCUCAGGUUGAAGGGAUGAUUAAAUAGAUUAAUGCAUAUGAAAUGGCAUGGCUGGUGUCUGCCACACACUGAGCACUUGAAAGUCAGAGUCUGUCAUCCUGCCGAAGUGGCAGCUGGAGUGUAGGUAGUAACCGUGAACUACAUCCCAGGUCUAAGGUCAGGGGUGGAUAUUCUACAGGAUCACUUUAAUUGUAGUCACGGCUAUUACCAGUUUCCUCUUCUGUCAACAGGUGAACUAUAAACGUGAGGAAAGUGAACAGGUCUGAGUCAAAGGUUUACUUUUGGUUCGGUGGACGCAGUUUUUGACCAGAUAUGUUAAGAGCAGAGAUGUCCUUUGGCAGAACUAUAAAACAGGCCUGUUCGUUCAUCCUCACCCUCCCAAACCAGCUUUUGUUUUACUUGAACAAAUGUAAAUCGGAUUUCUAAAGAGAUGGGGUCAGUUAAAUAAUACAGGCACGUGCCAAGGUCUAGCUAAACAAACAAACAAACAAACAAACAAACAAAACAAAACAGCAAAGGAGUUGUUUCUGAAGUCAAAACUCACCUCGAGAAUGACUCGGGAAGACAGAAAGAAUGUAAUCUGGGAUUGAGAGGCCACACAGAUAGAGAGGUAGUUUAUUUAAUUGCUGAGAAAAAAAAAAUGGUCCUUAGACAUGUCUUGGCAAAAGAUGGGGAUUGCCUAGUAUACGAAUUUUGCUUGGGAGAUGUUAACAACAAAAGGACAUAAAGGAUUAGCUUAUGUUUUGACAGCCUAGCACUAGUAAGGGUGUCUGUCUGAGUCAGCUAACGCUGGACGAGACAGUGGUCUGAAUCAGCACAAAAUGGCGGAGACACCAGAUGUCAUAAACAUUGAUGCAAUCUGUUACAUAACUAUGUUUGGCAGAGCGCCACUUUUGUGUGAUUCGGUAUAAAUAUGGCCCUGGGGUCAGAGGGCUUAGCUUUUUGCCUUCACCAGCCUGCCUGUAUAUGUUUGUCUGUAGACCUGUGUGUCUACUUCUGUGCUCUCUCUUUAACCUCCCCCUCCCUCCUAACUCAGGGAUCCUUCUCCUCUCCUGGCAUCCUACCAUGAGCCUCACAGGUGUCAACACACUUCUGCCUACCUGAGAAGACACACCAAUGACAGACCAAAGAAGUGAUUCCACCCAAGCCUGGCUCAACGAGCUCCUGAAUGUGCUGAGGUUACAGGAGUAUGGGUGAGGGUUGCUUAUCCGAGCAGCAACCCAAAGCUCCAUCGUACAGUGAACGACGGUUCGCAAGACCAUCUCUGGUGAGGUGUACACAGCUUGUAGGCAGUUAGCCUAGAAGGAGUUUCACUCCCUGGCAAUUGUUACAGCGUAUAUAAUGGAGGUGGGAUGGGACAUGGCGUGUGGUUCUUGUAGAUUUCAGAAGCUUCCAGAGACUUCUGAGGUUUGUUUCCUUUAUGAACCUUAUACACUUCAUUUACUUCGUAGGUCUUAAGGAGCCUCUCUUCUGGUUCUAAGCGGGACUAUUUCAACUGUCUAGGAAUAGCUACUCAAUAUCUGGUUGUCGCAAAGGCCUCCUUAGCUGCUUUAGCAGUGGGGAGAAAGGUGAGGUGCAGGAUGGGGGUGAAUUAGAAGUCCGUUUAAGAAGUGGUUCUUCUGCAGGGACAAAAAUAAAGAGGAGACUGAGGGAAAGGAGGUCCAGUGACAGGCCCAAGUUGAGAUCCAGCUUAAGGGGAGGUUCCAAGGCCUGACACUAUUACUGAUGCUAUGGAGUGCUCACAGGAGAGGCCUACCAUGACGGCCCUCAAAAAGACACAACAAGCAGCUGAAAGAGUCACAUGCAGAUAUUUACACCCAACCAAUGGACAGAAGCCUGGGACCCCUGUGGUUGAAUUAGGGGAAAGCUGGAAGAAGCUGAGGAGGAGGUCAACCCCACAGGAAGACCAGCAGUCUCAAUUAACCAGAACCUCCAAGAUCUCUCAGACACUGAGCCACCAACCAGGCAGCAUACACCAACUGAUAUGAGGCCCCUGACACAUAUACGGCAGAGGACUGCCUGAUCUGGUCUCAGUGAGAGAAGAGGCACCCAACCCUCCAGAGACUUGAGGCUCCAGGGAGUGGGGAGGUCUGGUGGGGUGCAGGGUGGGGGGUGGGGACAUCUUCUUGGAUGGGUGGGGGAUGGGUGUGGAUGUGGGGGAAAGGAGGUGUAGGAUGAGGAACAGAGGGUGGAUUGGGAGGGGAAUAAAGACUGAACUGUAAUAAAAGAUUAAAGAAUAGUGUAUCUUAGUCUUAAAACAUAUCUAGAAUAUUAUUCUACUGUCUUCUAAAAUUUUGAGCUCUCCGAAUAAAACAUAAUUUUAAUAUUCAAAAAGAAAAAGGAGAAGUGGUUCUGAAUUCCACACAGUUCUAUAACUUCUGUCAACCUGACAGAGGCUCGGUAAGGAGUGAAGCCUCCUUCUGGAGCAACACUUGGCAAAUGUGGGCAUGGGGCUAGUUCUAAAAUGGGGAGAAUUUUGGGGGAACAUUUGAUAAAGUCCCUAGACUCUCACCUCCAUUCUAAUCUAUAAUCCUGAAGUUGGAAAAUCCUCCUGAGGUAUCCGACUGCCUGCACACACAGACAAGAAGAUGCAGCCACCAAGAGCGCCUGCAUGGGCGUAGAGCUUUUGUUUCUUGUAGGCUUUUCUUCUUGGCUGGCAAGUAGCCGCUGUCUCAUUGCGUCCUCGGUCUUUCGCAAGCCCAUGUCGUUGGCUGUUAUGUCUUAAUCUCCUUAUCAGGCCACUAGUACUGAAUUAAUGCCUACCUAUAUGACCUCCUGUUACCUCAGUUACUUCUUUAAUGGCCCCAUCAGCAUGUACAGUCACAAUCUGAGGUACGUGUGAACUUGGAGCUAACCCAAUCCAGCCAAGGAAGAGGGGGAACAAAGUACCAAUCCUUUAAGAAUCUGUGGUAGCUUUGGGAAUAGUCACAUAGUCAAAAAUGCCUUUAAAGAUCAAAGAGUAUGUCUUUGUGCUAGUUUGGUAUUUUUUGUUGGUUUUGUUGACUUGGCCUAACAUAGAGUCUCCUCUGUAGAGGGAACCUCAGUUGAGAAAAUGCCUCCAUCAGAUUAGGCAGGUCUGUGGGACAUUUUCUUGAUUAAUGAUUGAUGUGGGAGGGCCUAGCCCAUUGAGGGCAGUGCUACCUCUGGGUAGAUGCUGGUCCUGGUUGUAUAAAAAAGCAUUGAGCAAGCAUGGAUACCAGGGCCGGUAUGCACCGUUUCUCUCUGCCCUGUGCUUCAGUUCCUACCUUGAAUUCCUACCUCGACUUUUUCCCGUAGUGAUGGAGUAUUACCUGAGUCAUAAGCUGAAAUGAACUCUGUCCUGCCCAAAUGCUUUUGGUCAUGUUCUUUAUCCCAGCAACUAAGACAGUCUUUGACGUCAAAAGUUCACAAAAGAUGCGAUAACACUGUGAUGGACAAGAGUAAAAGUCAUGUGGAUAAGACAGAAAGCAGAUUAGUGGUUACCCCGGGCCUGAAGUGGAGAGCAGAUGGAUGCAAACAGAUCCAAAGGAACUGUGUGUGUGUGUGAUGUGUGUGAUGAGUGUGUAUGAUGUGUGUGUGAUGUAUGUGUGAUGUGUGUGUGAUGUGUGUGAUGUGUGUGUGAUGUGUUGUGAUGUGUGUGUGAUGUGUGUGAUGUGUGUGUGAUGUGUGCGUGAUAUGUGUGCGAUGUAUGUGUGAUGAGUGUGUAUGAUGUGUGUGAUGUAUGUGUGAUGUGUGUGUAAUGUGUGUGUGAUGUGUGUGUAUGUGUGUGAUGUGUGCGUGAUAUGUGUAUGUGUGAGUGAUGUGUGAUGUGUGUGUGUGUGUGUUUCUGGCGGGGGUGGGUGUGUGUCACAAAGUUCAUGUGGCAGUCAGAGGAGAACUUUGUGGAAUUGUUUCUCUCCUCUCAUCUUUACAUGGGUUCUGGGGAUUAAACUCAGGUCAUAAGGUCGACAUGGCCAUACCCUUUACCUGCUAAUCCAUAUUGCCAGUCCCCAAAGGAUUUUUGGCACAAUGAAAGUGUUCUAAAACUAGAUUGUGGUGAUUUCUUGCACAGGUGUAUGAAGGCAUUUAAAAUCCAUUGAAUUGUACAAUUAUAAUGUAUACUGGGUAAGUUAUGCAUCAACAAAACUAUGUUUUUAAGAAAUGAGAAUGGACUAUAAAGUAGCUCACUAAAGUAUGAUUAAAAGCAAACAAAACAAAGCAACAACAAAACCAAGAGGUAUUAGGAGUGGUGGUGUGUAUUGGCAGGGGUGCAUACCUGUAAUUCCCAGCACUCGGAGCAGAGGCAAGAGAACUGUGACAAUGAGACUAUCCUGGGCUGCAUAGUGAAUGCAAAGCCAUCCUGGGCUACACCAGAGAGGCCUUGUCACAGACAGACAGACACACAGACACACAGAGAGACAGACAGACACACACACACAUACACACAGAGACAGACAGACACACACAGAGACAGACAGACAGACACACACACAGAGACAGACAGACAGACAGACACACAUACACACACACACACACACACACACA